AUUGAACGCUGGCGGCCGGUUUAACACAUGCAAGUCGAACGGUAACGGGUUGAAAGCUUGCUUUCAAUGCUGACGAGUGGCGGACGGGUGAGUAAGGCUUGGGGAUCUGGCUUUUGGAGGGGGAUAACCAUUGGAAACGAUGGCUAAUACCGCAUAGUAUCGAGAGAUGAAAGGGGUGGGAAACCACUUGCCAAGGGAUGAACCCAAGUGAGAUUAGGUAGUUGGUGGGGUAAAGGCCUACCAAGCCGACGAUCUCUAGCUGGUCUGAGAGGAUGGCCAGCCACACUGGGACUGAGACACGGCCCAGACUCCUACGGGAGGCAGCAGUGGGGAAUAUUGCGCAAUGGGGGGAACCCUGACGCAGCCAUGCCGCGUGAAUGAAGAAGGCCUUCGGGUUGUAAAGUUCUUUCGGUGGUGAGGAAGGUGGUAGUGUUAAUAGCGCUAUUGUUUGACGUUAGCCACAGAAGAAGCACCGGCUAACUCCGUGCCAGCAGCCGCGGUAAUACGGAGGGUGCGAGCGUUAAUCGGAAUAACUGGGCGUAAAGGGCACGCAGGCGGGACGUUAAGUGAGAUGUGAAAGCCCCGGGCUUAACCUGGGAACAGCAUUUCAUACUGGCGUACUAGAGUACUUUAGGGAGGGGUAGAAUUCCACGUGUAGCGGUGAAAUGCGUAGAGAUGUGGAGGAAUACCGAAGGCGAAGGCAGCCCCUUGGGAAGAUACUGACGCUCAUGUGCGAAAGCGUGGGGAGCANACAGG
rnacentral:rRNA from 1 species